GGGAGUGUAGCUCAGUGGUAGGGUGUUUGCCUAGCAUGUGAGAAACCCUGGGUUUGAUCCCCAGUACUGCGG
rnacentral:tRNA from 1 species